rnacentral:rRNA from 1 species
UACGGAGGGUGCAAGCGUUGUCCGGAAUCACUGGGCGUAAAGGGCGCGUAGGUGGCGCGACAAGUCAGUGGUGAAAGUUCGACGCUCAACGUCGAAUCGGCCACUGAUAACUGUUGGGCUUGAGCACUGUAGAGGCUAAUGGAAUUCCGGGUGUAGCGGUGGAAAUGCGUAGAGAUCCGGAAGAACACCGGUGGCGAAGGCGGUUAGCUGGGCAGUUGCUGGACAACUGAGGCG